GGGAUUGCCUCAGUAACGGCGAGUGAAGCGGCAACAGCUCAAAUUUGAAAUCUGGCCCUUUUAGGGUCCGAGUUGUAAUUUGUAGAGAGUGUUUCGGGCGAGACCACGGUUUAAGUCCAUUGGAACAUGGCGUCAUAGAGGGUGAGAAUCCCGUAUGUGACUGUGGAUCGAGCCCAUGUGAAGCCUCUUCGACGAGUCGAGUUGUUUGGGAAUGCAGCUCAAAACGGGUGGUAAAUUUCAUCUAAAGCUAAAUACUGGCUGGAGACCGAUAGCGCACAAGUAGAGUGAUCGAAAGAUGAAAAGCACUUUGGAAAGAGAGUCAAACAGUACGUGAAAUUGUUGAAAGGGAAGCGCUUGCAACCAGACCUGCCCGUAGGUGAUCAGCCGCUGUUUUCAGUGGUGCACUCGCUCUGCGAUCAGGCCAGCAUCGGUUCGGGCGGUCGGAUAAAGGCCUUGGGAAUGUAGCUUCCUUCGGGGAGUCUUAUAGCCCUCGGUGCAAUGCGGCCAGCCGGGAUCGAGGACCGCGCUUCGGCUAGGAUGCUGGCGUAAUGGUUGUAAGCGACCCGUCUUGAAACACGGACCAAGGAGUCUAACAUCUAUGCGAGUGUUUGGGUGUUAAACCCAUGCGCGGAAUGAAAGUGAACGGAGGUGAGAACCCUCAAGGGCGCAUCAUCGACCGAUCCAGAUGUCUUCGGAUGGAUUUGAGUAUGAGCAUAGCUGUUGGGACCCGAAAGAUGGUGAACUAUGCCUGAAUAGGGUGAAGCCAGAGGAAACUCUGGUGGAGGCUCGCAGCGGUUCUGACGUGCAAAUCGAUCGUCAAAUUUGGGUAUAGGGGCGAAAGACUAAUCGAACCAUUUC
rnacentral:rRNA from 1 species